rnacentral:rRNA from 1 species
AAUUGCUAGUAAUCGCGGAUCAGCAUGCCGCGGUGAAUACGUUCCCGGGGAUUGUACACACCGCCCGUCACACCAUGAGAGUCGGGAACACCCAAAGUCCGUAGUCUAACCGCAAGGAGGACGCGGCCUAAGGUGGGUUCGAUAAUUGGGGUGAAGUCGUAACAAGGUAGC